UUUGGCUGGGGCGGCACAUCU
rnacentral:snRNA from 1 species